rnacentral:tRNA from 1 species
UCGGGUAUAGUUUAAUACAAAAUAUUUGUUUUAGGAGCAAAGGUUACUAAUCUGUUAGUUGCCCGAG